rnacentral:tRNA from 1 species
AUAUUUUAAAGUAAACUCACUUUCUCAAUAUCUUCAAUAUUGUACUUUAUAAAUAAGCUAUUAAAAUA